rnacentral:lncRNA from 1 species
UGCCCGGACAGCACUGAGCGCGGCCCGCGGCAGCUACUUGAGAGUUGGGGUGCCGAGCUGGCCACCUUUGCAGAAUAAUAAGAUGGAGAUACAGUAGAACUUCCCGAAAUAAAGUGAGCUAGCUCACUCGUAAUAUCCGAGUUCUGAGUUUAGUGGACUUGAAUUUGGGUUGCUUGCUUGUAUUUGUAUGUACCCGGGACGUUUUGCACUCUGUACUUCGAUGUGUGAUUUUUUUUUGGUUGCAUUGUGUAUUUAUUAUAUGGGGAUAUACUGCAUUAUAUUUUGGUCUUUACUUGAGCUUUCUAUGUUAUUGCAUUUUUCGAAAUUUUGUGAGACAUAUUGUACAUUGCAUGGUAAAAUGUUUUAAGAGAAUUUGGAGCAUUCUAGGCAAUUG